rnacentral:rRNA from 1 species
GAUGAACGCUAGCUACAGGCUUAACACAUGCAAGUCGAGGGACCGGCGCACGGGUGAGUAACACGUAUCCAACCUUCCCUUUACUCGGGGAUAGCCUUUCGAAAGAAAGAUUAAUACCCGAUGUAAAGGAUGGGGAUGCGUUCCAUUAGGUUGUUGGUAAGGUAACGGCUAACCAAGCCUUCGAUGGAUAGGGGUGCUGAGAGGAAGCACACCAACAUUGGAACUGAGACCCGGCCCAAACUCCGAGGGGGUGCAGCGGUGAGGAAGAUUGGUCAAUGGGCGUUAGCCGGAAACAGCCAAGUAGCGUGAAGGAUGAAGGGUUAUGAGGCGUAAAUUUUUUGUAUAUAAGAAUCUGUAUUAUAUGAAUAAGGAUCGGCUAACUCCGUGCCAGCAGCCGCGGUAAUAC